rnacentral:rRNA from 1 species
ACUCCUACGGGAGGCAGCAGUGGGGAAUAUUGCACAAUGGGCGAAAGCCUGAUGCAGCAACGCCGCGUGAACGAUGAAGGCCUUCGGGUUGUAAAGUUCUUUUCUUAGAGAAGAAUCCAUGACGGUAUCUAAGGAAUAAGCCCCGGCUAACUACGUGCCAGCAGCCGCGGUAAUACGUAGGGGCAAGCGUUAUCCGGAAUCACUGGGCGUAAAGGGAGUGUAGGCGGUCAAGCAAGUCAGAGGUGAAAGGCAUCGGCUCAACCGGUGUAAGCCUUUGAAACUGUUUGACUUGAGUGCAGGAGAGGUAAGUGGAAUUCCUAGUGUAGCGGUGAAAUGCGUAGAUAUUAGGAGGAACACCAGUGGCGAAGGCGACUUACUGGACUGUAACUGACGCUGAGGCUCGAAAGCGUGGGGAGCGAACAGGAUUAGAUACCCUGGUAGCACAGAG